rnacentral:rRNA from 1 species
AGGCCUGCGGGUUGUAAAGCACUUYCMGUAGAGAAGAAAAGCUCUGGGUUAAUACCCCGGAGUCUUGACGUAACCUACAGAAGAAGCACCGGCUAACUCCGUGCCAGCAGCCGCGGUAAUACGGAGGGUGCGAGCGUUAAUCGGAAUUACUGGGCGUAAAGCGCGCGUAGGCGGCUAGGUCAGUCGGAUGUGAAAGCCCCGGGCUUAACUUGGGAAUUGCAUUCGAUACUGCCUGGCUAGAGUAUGGGAGAGGGAAGUGGAAUUUCCGGUGUAGCGGUGAAAUGCGUAGAUAUCGGAAGGAACACCAGUGGCGAAGGCGACUCCCUGGCCCAAUACUGACGCUCAGGUGCGAAAGCGUGGGUAGCGAACAGGAUUAGAUACCCUGGUAGUCCACGCCGUAAACGAUGAGAACUAGAUGUCGGGAGGAUUUGCCUCUCGGUGUCGCAGCUAACGCAUUAAGUUCUCCGCCUGGGGAGUACGCCGGCAACGGUAAAACUCAAAGGAAUUGACGGGGACCCGCACAAGCGGUGGAGCAUGUGGUUUAAUUCGAUGCAACGCGAAGAACCUUACCUGGCCUUGACAUCCUCGGAACUUUCCAGAGAUGGAUCGGUGCCUUCGGGAACCGAGUGACAGGUGCUGCAUGGCUGUCGUCAGCUCGUGUCGUGAGAUGUUGGGUUAAGUCCCGCAACGAGCGCAACCCUUGUCCCUAGUUGCCAUCAU